UACGUAGGGGGCUAGCGUUGUCCGGAUUUAUUGGGCGUAAAGAGCGUGUAGGCGGCCAUGUAGGUCCGGUGUGAAAACUCGAGGCUUAACCUCGAGAUGUCAUCGGAAACCAUUUGGCUAGAGUCCGGAAGAGGAGAGUGGAAUUCCUGGUGUAGCGGUGAAAUGCGCAGAUAUCAGGAAGAACACCAAUGGCGAAAGCAGCUCUCUGGGCCGAAACUGACGCUGAGGAGCGAAAGCGUGGGUAGCAAACAGG
rnacentral:rRNA from 1 species